rnacentral:rRNA from 1 species
AACGAACGCUGGCGGCAGGCUUAACACAUGCAAGUCGAGCGCCCCGCAAGGGGAGCGGCAGACGGGUGAGUAACGCGUGGGAAUCUACCCAUCUCUACGGAAUAACGCAUGGAAACGUGUGCUAAUACCGUAUACGACCUUCGGGAGAAAGAUUUAUCGGAGAUGGAUGAGCCCGCGAUGGAUUAGCUAGUUGGUGGGGUAAAGGCCUACCAAGGCGACGAUCCAUAGAUGGUCUGAGAGGAUGAUCAGCCACACUGGGACUGAGACACGGGCCAGACUCCUACGGGAGGCAGCAGUGGGGAAUAUUGGACAAUGGGCGCAAGCCUGAUCCAGCCAUGCCGCGUGAGUGAUGAAGGCCCUAGGGUUGUAAAGCUCUUUCACCGGUGAAGAUAAUGACGGUAACCGGAGAAGAAGCCCCGGCUAACUUCGUGCCAGCCGCCGCCGUAAGAC